GUGAAUCAUCAAAUCUUUGAACGCAAAUUGCACUCUCUUCGGAGAGUAUGCCUGUUUGAGGGUCAGCCUAAAAAAAAUCGACAUAGUUUCUGUUACGCGGUAACAUUCGUCGGAAAUUGGGUCAUCUUAAACCUUUGGGUUUAAGCGGCUUAAAAUUUUCUUUACGAUUCCAAGAACGUUUCUAAGAUUUUAUUUUCUUAUACGUUUAAUGUAUCGAUCUUUAUAUACGUUGCCGUUUCAUCCGAUUCCGUCCAUAAAGUUUUU
rnacentral:misc_RNA from 1 species